rnacentral:rRNA from 1 species
UACGUAGGGUCCGAGCGUUGUUCGGAUUUAUUGGGCGUAAAGAGCUCGUAGGCGGCUUGUCGCGUCGACCGUGAAAACUUGGGGCUCAACCCCAAGCCUGCGGUCGAUACGGGCAGGCUCGAGUUCGGUAGGGGAGACUGGAAUUCCUGGUGUAGCGGUGAAAUGCGCAGAUAUCAGGAGGAACACCGAUGGCGAAGGCAGGUCUCUGGGCCGAUACUGACGCUGAGGAGCGAAAGCGUGGGGAGCGAACAGG